CGUGCCUAACACAUGCAAGUCGAACGGAGUAUAUUCGCUGCAGAGAUUUCGGUCGAAGCUUGAGUAUACUUAGUGGCGGACGGGUGAGUAACGCGUGGGCAACCUGCCUCAUACUGGGGGAUAGCAGUUGGAAACGACUGAUAAUACCGCAUAAGCGCACAGCAUCGCAUGAUGCAGUGUGAAAAACUCUGGUGGUAUGAGAUGGGCCCGCGUCAGAUUAGCCAGUUGGCAGGGUAACGGCCUACCAAAGCGACGAUCUGUAGCCGGCCUGAGAGGGCGGACGGCCACAUUGGGACUGAGACACGGCCCAAACUCCUACGGGAGGCAGCAGUGGGGGAUAUUGCACAAUGGAGGAAACUCUGAUGCAGCGACGCCGCGUGAAGUGAAGAAGUAUUUCGGUAUGUAAAGCUCUAUCAGCAGGGAAGAAAGACUCGCAAGAGAGAUGACGGUACCUGACUAAGAAGCCCCGGCUAACUACGUGCCAGCCGCCGC
rnacentral:rRNA from 1 species